rnacentral:rRNA from 1 species
GACGAACGCUGGCGGCGUGCCUAAUACAUGCAAGUCGAACGCACUCUCGUUAGAUUGAAGAAGCUUGCUUCUGAUUGAUAACAUUUGAGUGGGUGGCGGACGGGUGAGUAACACGUGGGUAACCUGCCCUAAAGUGGGGGAUAACAUUUGGAAACAGAUGCUAAUACCGCAUAAAACCUAGCACCGCAUGGUGCAAGGUUGAAAGAUGGUUUCGGCUAUCACUUUAGGAUGGACCCGCGGUGCAUUAGUUAGUUGGUGAGGUAAAGGCUCACCAAGACCGUGAUGCAUAGCCGACCUGAGAGGGUAAUCGGCCACACUGGGACUGAGACACGGCCCAGACUCCUACGGGAGGCAGCAGUAGGGAAUCUUCCACAAUGGACGAAAGUCUGAUGGAGCAACGCCGCGUGAGUGAAGAAGGUUUUCGGAUCGUAAAACUCUGUUGUUGGAGAAGAACGUAUUUGAUAGUAACUGAUCAGGUAGUGACGGUAUCCAACCAGAAAGCCACGGCUAACUACGUG